AGUACAGCACAAAGAACGAGGUUUUCUAUUAAAAAAACGAAAAAAAACAGGUCAAGAUUCCUUAAUGCUGAGUUCAAAGAUUUCAUCAAAUCCAUUCAUGAUGUUGGGAACUCCAAGUUAAUUACGGGAAAGGACAGUGUCUGACAGAAUCUCAAGGCACAAAGAAACUCAACAAAAAAUGCUUCCUUUCUUCCUCUUUAAGAAGCCGUCGAUUGUUUUAAAUUACUUAUUGUCGCCGCUUUCUUCACGAAGUAACACAGAUUUGAGGAUUUUCUUUGCAGUGAAGAAGGUGGGAAAAAUGGAGGGGAAUGCGAUCACUAAGAUUCUCUUUUGUAGUUCUCAUUUCCCUUCUGCUCAUGAAUACACAAGGGAAUGUUUGCAGAAAUACCCAUUUAUUCAGGUUGAUGAUGUAGAUAUUGAUGAUGUGCCUAAUGUUAUUGGGGAUUACCAUAUUUGCAUACCCAGAAUGAUGCGCCUGGAUUCUGAAGUUAUUUCUCGUGCCAAACAGAUGAAGCUUAUCAUGCAAUAUGGCGUUGGACUUGAAGGUGUGGACAUUGAUGCUGCUACCAUGGCUGGAAUUAGAGUAGCAAGGAUUCCUAGCAAUAUGACGGGAAAUUCAUUCUCAUGUGCGGAGCAUGCUAUAUAUUUGGUAUUAGGGCUUCUGCGUAAGCAAAAGGAAAUGGAAAUUGCUGUACAAGAAAGAAAAUUGGGUUGGCCUGCUGGAGAAACUCUUUUUGGAAAAACGGUCUUUAUUCUUGGAUAUGGGAACAUUGGAGUUGAUCUUGCUGCUCGUUUGAAGCCCUUUGGGGUAAAAAUUCUUGCUACCAAAAGGAGUUGGAGCUCAGUGUCUCAAGAUUCUAGGACCCAUGAUGGUCUGGAUAGGAAUGGAAAGUUCAACAAUGGUGUUGUUGGUAAGAAAGGUGACAUGGGCAGCAUCUAUGAUUUUGCCGGAGAAGCAGAUAUUGUUUUUGCGUGCAUAAAUUUGAACAAGGAUACGGCUGGAAUUGUGAACCACAAGUUCCUCACCUCUAUGAGAAAGGGGGCACUACUGGUAAAUGUGGCUCGAGGAGGUGUCUUGGACUAUCAAGCUGUUAAAUAUCACCUAGAAUCUGGCCAUCUUGGAGGCUUGGCAAUCGAUGUUGCAUGGACUGAGCCAUUUGAUCCUGAGGAUCCAAUUUUGAAGUUUCCAAAUGUUCUCAUCACACCUCACAUUGCUGGGGUAACAGAAUAUUCCUACAGGAAAAUGGCCAAGGUAAAAGCUUCUUAUAUUUCAAUUAUAUGUAAAUGACUGCCCUGGGAAAUAUCAUAUAAUCCAAUGAACUCUGAAAAUCCAUAGUCUCAUUGGGUCAUCAUCAUCCAAUCAAACAAUGGAUGGUGAUAGAGAGUGGGACUCCCGGAAGAAGGGAUGAACCCAAUUUCAGGUUCCGCCCUCUAUCCAUCACUGUCCACUGUGGGCCUGAUUGACUAUGGUUUUGCAAAUCCAUCAGAGUAUGGUAUACUUGACCUUACACUGUCUUAAGAACCAGCGAACAAACCUGGCUUGGAACCUAUGGGCUACUGUUCCCAGUCCCUAAACCGCCUGUUUGCCUGUUUCCCACUGGUUCUCAUGAGUUUUCACCUUGUUUUUGAAUUUUCCUGUAGAAAUAAAAGGGAUAGGCGAGCUGGCUUGGGCAGUUCCUACCCGGCUUGGACCAGUGUGUGAUUGGUUCAACCCACUGAUCUGUUUUUAAAACAAAUGUUUGCCUAUUGUGUACAUCCUUGCGUCUGAAACAUAGCAGUUGAGAAUGGCCUAGGGCGUUGGCGGUAGUAUUGCCAGGCCCCGUGGUGACUCCAUUCUCACCAAAAG